GGAGGAGGAGGAAUGGGUGGACAUGGCCACAAAGGAGGCUGCUCUCAAGAACAUCCGAGAGUAGCUCCAGGGCUGAGAAAAGGAUGAGGCCCAGCAUCUCAUGUUUCAGCACACCAUCCACCCCGCGUGUCUCGCUGCACAACAGAGAGGGCAGGACACGCUGGACCCACACUGCUGCAAGGCGGCUGUGAUGGAGAGGAUUGUGCACCGUGAUACCUGCCCUGGAGCCAGAACUGGAGACCCACCUCCUUCGAGCUGCCCUGCAUGCCAUCUUCACUCUGGGCACGGAGAAGGACACCACCCAAGUCCAGGUAGAUCAUGCUAAAGUCAUGGUUUGAAGAGCCAGCUGUCAACCUGCCACAAAUCAUUUUUAAUUGCCUGCAGUGGGAUGUGAAUGAGAGAAGCCAGGAUAUGUGUUUGGAGGUCUCAGCAGUGCUUCCCAGAGACCCCUUGUGACGGGGCGGACUGGCCCCGCACUGGGACUGAGAGAGUUAACCCUUCCCUGCUGACAGAGGAAGCCAUGCCCCUGAGGCUCUGCUGGGCAUGCUCCAACCGGGAGUCAAACAUAAAAGCCUGCAGAACUGCUUAGUUCGGGCUGGCAGCUCAGGAAGAAGGAUGCCCUGCAGAAGCUCCAGCCCAGGAGCAGUUGCAAGGAAGGAGGGAGCUGAGGAGCCAGGAAACGGGCCCAGAGACUGGCAGCUGUGGGAAUCCCAGGGAGCAUCGGGUGCUGAGGAUCCUGAAGACUCUGAUGCCACAAGAACUGCUACGUUUGGAGGACUGGUAGGAAGUGACCCAGGGAAGGGAAAGGAAUGGUAUCUCCCACCAUUAUGAAGGCAGCGUCCUGGGUCGGAGCCCUUUGAAGGCGAGUGGGCCCAGGCUCCCCUACUGGGGGUAUCUACCCCCCUCCUUUUGGGGGAUGAUGUAGUUCACCCACCCCUCUCUCACCCCAAAGGAGGUAGAUGAACUCUGGCCGCUGGGCCACGCUAUCCCCCAAGGGCAGAAGAAUUUAGAGAGAUUCUGGCCAUUAGGCCACACUGCCUUAGUAACACACUAUAGAAACUCCGGCUGCUGGGCCGUGCUACCUGACCGAGGGAAGAGGGUGUAGAGAGACUCUGGCCAUUGGGCCAUACAGCCUGACUACCGGGGAGGUAGUAAGACCAACGUAGAUGUAGGGAGGUGGGGUUAACCUCGCUUUCUCCCUCUUGAAUCAAAGGGGUUGAUGAGCUACAAAACCCGCCACACCCCUCUUCCCACCCAGUGGUAGGUGUAGCCCCACUUUCCUUAACUCUGACCCAUGGCUCUCCCUUGCUUUGGAGAUCUGGAUAGGAUCUUGCCGGACCUCCUGGACACCAUGCUGGGGAACCUGCUGGCGGAGUCCCCAGACUCCGACAGGCUCCACUGCAUC